UCAUGUCAUAUAGCAAGCCACAUAUCCAAUGCAUAUUACCUGCUAUCAUAUCCACAUUUUUAUUUAAAGCAUUGUUAUUAAAUUUGGCAAUAUCGAGCAUGUUAAUCUAGUGGCCUAUUGAUCAGAGAUCUGAUUUGUGCUAGUGUUAAAUUAAACGAGUAUUUUAAGUUAAAACUGAGACAACAAUUUGUCCCAGCGGAACCCAAGAGCAAAAUGUCACCUGAAGCAUGGGGAGUGAGGUCAUAGUGGAGCUCCAAAGAAACUAAACCAACGCCAACGUUGUGGGAGAGAUUGUGAAGAUAGAAAGAAAGAUCUCCCCGAAACAUGAAUCACUUGCUAGAUCAUUUGAUGAAGAGCUUAGAAAGAAGAAUUCAGGGCUUCUAUAUACUGAACGAAAUGGAGAAGUUGCUGGCUAUUCCUGGCCCUCUUCUUUGUGUGCUUCUAUCACAAAACUUGCAGUGAAGGAGAACUAUAGAAGUCAAUGCCAUGGAGAGGCAUUGCUUAAAGCAGCAAUUGAGAAACGCAAAAACAGAAAGGAUGUUGUAGCCCAAUGAAUAAUAGGGUUUCAGUUUUCCUGCUCUUUUAUUUAGCUUUAGCUUGAAUGCUUAGAUGUCUCGGGUGCUUAUUUGUGUGAUGCUAUGGGCUGAGCACCUGCUUCCCGAAUGAUUUCUCCCUCCUUUCAAUAAUGAAAUUUCUUGUGAUUAAAAGUUUUUUAACCCCGAAACAAUUUUUUUA